UGAACCCCGGCUACUCCGAGCCCGCCGCGGGCCCCGAGCUGCCGCCCGACAUGACCGUGGUGCCCGGGGACCACCUGCUGGAGCCGGAGGCGGCCGACGGCGGAGGGGCCCCGCCUCAGGGCGGCUGCGGCGGCGGCGGCGGCGGCUGCGACCGCUACGAGCCGCUGCCGCCCUCGCUGCCGGCCGCGGGCGAGCAGGACUGCUGCGGGGAGCGCGUGGUCAUCAACAUCUCGGGGCUGCGCUUCGAGACGCAGCUGAAGACCCUCUGCCAGUUCCCCGAGACGCUGCUGGGCGACCCCAAGCGGCGCAUGCGGUACUUCGACCCGCUCCGCAACGAGUACUUCUUCGACCGCAACCGGCCCAGCUUCGACGCCAUCCUCUACUACUACCAGUCCGGGGGCCGCAUCCGCCGGCCCGUCAACGUGCCCAUCGACAUCUUCUCCGAGGAGAUCCGCUUCUACCAGCUGGGCGAGGAGGCCAUGGAGAAGUUCCGCGAGGACGAGGGCUUCCUGCGGGAGGAGGAGCGGCCCCUGCCCCGCCGCGACUUCCAGCGCCAGGUGUGGCUGCUCUUUGAGUACCCCGAGAGCUCCGGGCCGGCCCGGGGCAUCGCCAUCGUGUCCGUGCUGGUCAUCCUCAUCUCCAUUGUCAUCUUCUGCCUGGAGACGCUGCCGGAGUUCCGCGACGAGAAGGACUACCCCUCCUCGCCGUCGCAGGACGCGUUCGAUGCCGCCGGCAACAGCACGUCGGGGGCCUCCGGGGGGGCCUCCAGCUUCUCCGAUCCCUUCUUCGUGGUGGAGACCCUGUGCAUCAUCUGGUUCUCCUUCGAGCUGCUGGUGCGGUUCUUCGCCUGUCCGAGCAAAGCCACCUUUUCGCGCAACAUCAUGAACUUGAUUGACGUCGUGGCCAUCAUCCCUUAUUUUAUCACUCUGGGUACCGAGCUGGCCGAGCGACAGGGCAACGGACAGCAGGCCAUGUCCCUGGCCAUCCUGAGGGUCAUCCGCCUGGUGAGGGUCUUCCGCAUCUUCAAGCUCUCGCGCCACUCCAAGGGGCUGCAGAUCCUCGGGCAAACGCUGAAGGCGUCCAUGCGAGAGUUGGGGUUGCUCAUCUUCUUCCUCUUUAUUGGGGUCAUCCUCUUCUCCAGCGCGGUCUACUUUGCCGAGGCAGACGACCCCACCUCAGGUUUCAGCAGCAUCCCGGAUGCCUUCUGGUGGGCAGUGGUAACCAUGACAACAGUGGGUUAUGGUGAUAUGCACCCAGUGACCAUAGGGGGCAAGAUUGUGGGAUCUCUCUGUGCCAUCGCCGGUGUCUUGACCAUCGCAUUGCCAGUUCCCGUGAUUGUUUCCAACUUCAAUUACUUCUACCACCGGGAGACGGAGGGGGAAGAGCAAGCCCAGUACCUGCACGUAGGAAGUUGCCAGCACCUCUCCUCUUCAGCCGAGGAGCUCCGAAAAGCAAGGAGUAACUCGACCCUGACAGUUCCAAGUCCUUCCCACCUCUCAGCUGCGAAUAGAAGUGAUAACCCUUCCCACUAAGAAAUGCAAGGAAGCACACAUGCCCCAUAAUCUGAAGACUUAUGGAAACACUGUGAGAUAGAGAUCCCUGAAGAGACCCCCACAUAAAGAACUGUAGAGCUGCACUGACCAGUAGGAUGCUCCAUUUUAAAUUGCCUGGAUCAAGAAUGCAGUGGCAAUUAUAUCACUGAUGGGCAAUGAUCCACCUGACAGCAUAUAUUUUUAUUUCAGUUGACAUUAAAUAAUAUGUCUCUAACAAAUGCUUUAUAUAAAGGGAACAACUCUGACGUCGGAGGAUUUGCUUCAUAUUGUGUGCCAUAUAAAAGACAUUUGAUCAAUAGAUGAAGAAUCUUGAAAAUAUUAAGGUAUUAUUGCAACCUUUCGACAUUUUGAUGAAAUCAAAUCAUCCAAAAACUAUAAUCAGUGCUGCAGAUAAAGAAAGCCUAAAAUUUGUUUCUAACAAGCCAACUGUUGCUUUUUUCUUUUUUCAAUUAAUUAGUGGACUGUGUUUAAUCAUGAGAUAUAGUCAUGUUAUAUUCCAUGUUCUGGGUUAUGUGCAACUUUAUUUGUGAAGGUGUGUUUUGUACCAAAGGCUCUCAUACAUAGAUUAGCCCAUUUACAUAUAAAUAAGUGAGGUCUACACUGUGCCCAAAUAAAUGGUAUUAAAGACAGACUUGCCUAAAAGAAAUGUGCCUUGCUUGAUUAAACAUUAUUUUAUUUUUUAUUCAAAAUGAUAGAUUUUCAAAUUAGUGUUAUAGGUUUUAGCUGAGGUGAACUUUACAAAAAUAUAUGACUACUUAUUCCGUUUUAGUAUUCUAUCUUAAUUAAAAUUAUAACAUUAGUUAUGCCUUCAACAGUUCAUAUGUAAUAUGUUCAUUUCAUUUUGUUUUCAUGGGAUGUUUGGUGUGAUGCAACAAAGCACAUUCUUAAAUAUAAUAUUUCAUCUAAUGUUUAUAACUUUUCCUUCAAAAUUAUAUAUGUAAAAGUUUCCUUAACUCAUUUUCUAUUUUUAUAUUCUUUUAGAAAUGGAACUCUUUUUCAAUUAAAGAAAAGUUUUAGUUGGAAAAGAGAUUUAGGAGGUCAUGAAGAUGGUUUCCUAUUUGGGGACAUUUCACUUCUGUGCCAUUAAUGUAUUUUACUGUGACAUUUCAGCAGAAUGGUAGCUAUUUGUAUAUUAUUUCAUAAGCCUUAUGGAAAGUCAAACUGUGAAAAUUUAUUAUAUAGAACACUUUAUUUCCAUAUUUUAGUUUCAAAAUAUAUCUGAACAGAUGCAUAAAUAACCAAUCUUCUGUUAUUUAAAUGUAUAACAAUGCUAUGUGAUAAUGAGAGCACUUGUAGAAUUUUAAUUACUAUAAAAACAUUUCAGUAGCAAAGCCAAGAUUAUAAAUUUUUUGAUGCCCUACAGAAUGGAAUACAAGUGAUGAAUUGCACUGUAUGAGAAUCAGUAACUAAAACAAUCUUAUACUUGCAGCAAGACAGACAGAUAAAUACAAGAUACAAUCUAGGUAACUUUCUUUGAGGCAAAGUCUACAAUGAAUUUCUCACAAUCUGUUGGUAAUUUCUUUGUGUCAAAACUUUGAGACCAGAUCACUACAGGAAAAUAAAAAGUCUGACAGCUAUCUCAGGUUUGAGCUAUGUGAACCUUUAGUCAAGAUGAUUUGUGAUUAAAGUGAAAAUAUAGCCACUAUCUUUUCUUUGUUUUAUGUUAGCCCAUUUAGUAAGACAUUGGCCUGGAAAAUAGUCAGUCCAUUGCAGCCAACUAAUCCUUGUAACUAAUUAUUAUAGCCUGGAUAGCAGCAAAGUAAUCCACAUCAGCUAUUGGGAUGAUUGAAACAAACUGAUCAACUGUGUUACAGGAGGUUUUAGACAUACCGAUGUUUUAGUAAGAAUCAGUAGGCGUUACAAAAAUAGACACAAAAAUUACCUUUAUAAAACACCAAUGGCACCACUGUAUGCAUUAUAGUAUAUUUAACAUCUGAAUUAUUAUUACAGGUUACAGUUUCAAAUAAACACAAAACCCAGAUUUUUGUGAUAAAAGUACAGGAUGGUGUCAGAUGAGUAAACUGUCAUACUGAAUAUGGUUCACAGAAUGGAUAGUAAAAAUGGUACUUCUUUAGAUAACAAUAGACCAGAAUUCUCAUCCACUUUCUACCUGUGGGACCCUAGGUAAAUCAGUUACAUUACUAGCUUCAGUUUGCAGGCUUAAAUUGUAAGAUGAGUGUGCUAGAUUCAGUGAUCUCCAAAACCCUUACCAACCCCCAAAUUCUCAUUAUACACAUUUGAGAAAUGCUUUGAAGAAAACUUAGGGCUGGGUGCAGUGGCUCAUGCCUGUAAUCCCAGCACUUUGGGAGGCCAAGGCGGGUGGAUCACUAAGUCAGAAGUUUGAGACCAGCCUGGCCAACAUAGUGAAACUCCGUCUCUACUAAAAAUACAAAAAUUAGCUAGGCAUGGUGGCACAUGCCUGUAGUCCCAGCUACUUGGGAGGCUGAGGCAGGAGAUUUGCUUGAACAUGGGAGGUGGAGGUUGCAACGAGCCGAGAUUGUGCCGCUGAACUCCAGCUUGGGCAACAGAGGGAGACUUCAUCUCAAAAAAAAAAAAAAAAGAAAAGAAAAGAAAAAAGAAAAGUACCCAGAUUUUCUUAUGCAGGAAAGAAUACAUGAAGUAAGAUUUAAGCCUUGAAAGUGUCAUAAAUAUAUCAUUCUUCAAACUGAUUGUGAGAAAAGGAAAUAGGACUCUUUCUCCUUAGAAUUUUCACUGAUCUGUAAUGGGAUCAAAAAAGUAGAAAAAUCAGUCUGUGGAAUGGAAACAUUAAUUAAAUAGCUAGAAAGGAGGGAAGGGUAUUUGUUUAAUUAAAUAUUAAGGCAACUUGAAAAUUGUCUAUGAAAUGCUAAAACAGUUCCAGAGCCUUAUUGCACACUCACCAUUUUAAGCCUGAGAGCAGGGAAAUGUGCAAAAAGGUUGGAGUGAUAGAAGUGUUUGCUUUAUGAUCUCUUGACUCCCUUUACACAAGAAGCAGAUUGGUAGAGCUUAAGCAGGUGUCUGUGCUGUGGUGCUGGCUCUGCCAAAAACUCUCAUGUGCCCUAGGAAGGUUCCUUUAACUUCUCUGGGGCCCGAGUUUCUUUAUCUGUAAAAUGAAGAGUUUUUAAAUUUAGUAAUCUGUGUGUCUCUUUUCAUCUCUGAGAAUUCUAUAACAUUUUCAGAUUGUUAUAUGUGUACAUGUACAUGUUGCUCACCUCCGUUCACUAAGAUGCUACAUAUUUCUACUUGAGUGACUGAACAGAUUGCAAGUCCAAAUGUUCUCGUUUCUAAUAAUAAUAAUUGACCUCAGCAAGACAUA